AUUAGAUCUUCAUGCCUUUGAUAGUCUCUCUGGAAUAAGUUUGCAGAAAAAACUUCAGCAUGUGCCAGGAACACAACCUCACCUUGAUCAGAGUAUUGUUACAAUCACAUUUGAAGUACCAGGAAAUGCAAAGGAAGAACAUCUUAAUAUGUUUAUUCAGAAUCUCCUGUGGGAAAAGAAUGUGAGAAACAAGGACAAUCACUGCAUGGAGGUCAUAAGGCUGAAGGUACAGUUUACUGUUGCAGACUUUCGGACAAAGUCCUUUUCUUGGCUGUUAUAAAAACUAUAUUUGGUUUUAAACAGAAACACUUGUUUUAGUACAAAUCAUCUUUGUCUACUUUCAUUUUUCUUUAUUAUUUUCGUGACUGAAAAGGAGCUUUGGAAAUCACUGCAUAAGGCUUGAUUUAUUUGCACAACUUUCUUUAGGGUUGCAGCUAGAACAAACCUGUGUGCUUUGAAAUGUUACCUUCUGCUCUCUGUUCCCAAGUACAGAGAAAUAAUGUUGCAAAUCUCACUUCUGCUGAACAUUAUGCUUCCUGAUGCAUUUAGCAGACACUAAACAUUUGUCAUACUCUAAACAAAGUUACAAAGGACUAGAAGAAUUCUUGUUCUGUAUUUAGAAACCCACUCACGUUACUUGAUAUUUGGGUAUUUAAGUCAUGAAAGGUAUUUCUUCUAGGAAGCAGUGAUUCUAAAGUGUAUGCUUAACCAGUCAGUUGAGUGUCUACUCUUGUGUGUUCACAAGUGUGCACAAAGUUUUUGGUAAAUUAAGAAUAUUAUUUCAAAUAAAUUAAUUUCAUCCCCAUAGGAGCCAGUUUAUCAGAUAAUUCGUUUCUCAUUUCUGCAAAUCAAUACACAAUGAGCUCAUAUUCAGAUAAAUAUAAUAGUUUUUCUUUAUUUCAUCAUUGUUCAUUGAUUGCAACCCAUUUCUAAAACAAAUUAUUUAAUAUAACCAAACUCCUUUAACUUCUCAACUUUUCCCACGAAAACUGUGAAACAUUAUAUAAAAUCUUUAAUCAAUAGGAUAUGAUACAUAUUUCAUCAUUUUGUUUCAGGUUUUGGUUGUGAUAAAUAACACUGAAAAACCAUCCUAAUAUAUGUAUUAACUUUAUCAUUAGAAAAGGGGAUUGUUCAAAAAGAAAAUCAAUACACAGAAACCUUUUUUGAAAAUUAAAAACAUUAAGAAACUUCUUGUAAUUCACAAAUAAUUGGAAUUAAGUAAUUUUCUCAGCUUAAGAGUUUGUAUUUUUUAAGUGAAUAUCAGUAAUUAAUCCAUUAACAUUGAUGCUCUAUUUCUGCUUUUAAGUUUGAACUGAGGCUGAUUAAUGUUCAGUCAAUUCUCCUUUGAGCAGGGAUUGGUGUCAAUCAAAGACAAAUCACAACAAGUGAUUGUCCAGGGUGUCCAUGAGCUCUAUGAUCUGGAGGAGACUCCAGUGAGCUGGAAGGAUGACACUGAGAGAACAAAUCGAUUGGUCCUCCUUGGUAAGUCUCAAAGGAUUCACAGUUUUAAAACAAAGUGAAAAAUAUAUUUGAAAGGGAUAUCAUGUGCCACUUAAACAGAUUAACCAUUCAGGUCCUCUUUUAAAACUAAAUAAGCUUGUGGUCAAUGUUUCAUCUUUAUCACGUUACAACGUUCGUAAAAGCUUGUUAGGACUUUUGUUCUUCUUCAGUUUUAGAAAAGUGGUUAAUCCAAGGACCAAUGUGACUUUGAUGUACUGACCUGGAAAGUUAAAGAUGGAAUCACUCAAUUACUAUUCUUUUUGUAAAUUUCUAAACACCAUAAAGCAUUUAAUGAACUGGAAUUGAUAGGUGAACUGUGUCAUUUUAAUAAGCAUAAUGUAAUCACGUCAUAUUUUGUUUUGUUUGCAGGCAGAAAUUUAGAUAAGGAUAUCCUUAAACAGCUGUUUAUAGCUACUGUGACAGAAACAGAAAAGCAGUGGACAACACGUUUCCAAGAAGAUCAAGUUUGUACAUAACACUAGAGGCAUUUCUUAUCAAAAGGAUUGGAUAAUAAAAAUAAGUUUCUACUGGGUAUAUUUCAAGCAUUUAUUUAUUACUUUAGUUACGAAUUCCAAUAUACUUUAAAAUGGUAUUUGUUUUACAGCAUACAUAAAAUGUAGCAAAUCAGUACUGUAAAACAUUUAACAUUCAUACAGUUAUAUAUAAUAUCCUUUUUUUUAAAGAAUGGUAUUUCACAAAAAUAUCUUUUGAAAUUGGCUUUGGAGUUUACAUAUACUGAACAUGAAAGUUUAUAAUAAUGAUGAUACAACUUUCAACAUUGUCAUUUUUUCUUAGAACUUCAGCUGAUUGCAGAGAUAUAAUGAUUACAUUGUUAUUAAAUUUUUUUAACACAAGUAAGUGUCACCAUUUUAUGACAUGAAAUAAAAGGUU
rnacentral:lncRNA from 1 species